CCUAGAGGCAGGAUUGAAGUCAGGAGGCGAGCAUGCGCAGAUCCUGCAGUGCUCCCGAGCGCCACCGCGCCUGCCAGGCCUAGAGGCAGGAUUGAAGCCAGGAGGCGGCUGAACAGGACCUGAGGACAUUAGCCUCCUCCAACAAGUGGUGGCCUCGGGCAGCAGUCACCUCCAUCUCCAGGACACCCCUGGACGUGGUGAAGGUCCGCCUGCGCUCUCAAUGCCCUGCUGUGACUGACACCUCGCUCCAGACCCUGGACCUCUCCUAAGCCAAAUCGCCCUCCUCCUUCCAAGCCACAGGGCGGGGCCUCCUGUGCGGCAGUGGUGUCCUGGAGCCCCCGCACCUGUCUCCAAAUGGUAUCCGCUGUGCCAUCAGAACCCGCUUCACUGGCACCAUGGGUGCCUUUGUGAAGAUUGUGAGGCACCAGGACACCUGGGGACAGCCUCCUAGCUACCCUGGUGAUGACCCUGCCAGCCACCACCAUCUACUUCACUGGCUUACGACAAAACUCCAGGCCGUCCUGUGUGACAGAGCCCUGACCUCUGAUCUCUGGGCACCCUUGGUGGCUGGAGCUUGUGGGGACACAGCUGCAGGCUCAGCACGUGGUCUGCCAUGAGCUCGGCACCCGUGUCUGCCUGUGGUGGUUCAGGGCGGCUGGCGCUCCCUGUGGCAGGGUUAGGCCCCACUGCCCUUCAAGAUGUGCCCUUCUCAACCCUGCACAGGUCCAACUCUGAGCUGGAGAAGAGCUGGUUGAAUGCUAAAGGACUAGAGGUUAGCAGACCUCAGCUUUGUGGCUGGUGGAGUCUCAGAGAUGGUGACUGUGGUCCUGACACUACCCUUUGACGUGGUGAAGACUCAAUGGCAGGCUGCCCUGGGAGUGGUGGAGGCUGUGAUAGUGAUGUUCCGCCCAUCACACUGACUCCAUCAGGCGAGUGGGGCACCAGGGGACUCUGCAGACCUCUUCCUGAGGAUUUUCUAGGUUGCCCUGUCCUGUGCCAUCAUAAUCAGCCUUUAUGGGUUCAGCAAAAGCUGCCUCCAGAGGCUCAACCAGGAAUGGCCUCUGGGCCAUGGAAAGAGGCGAGGAGAGGCGGACCCCAUCUCUUCAUAGAUGAAAGCAGCAUCAUUUCAAGAACUUGGACUGAUACAAAUAAUAAACACGAAGUCCAGGAGUAGGGUUGGCUGUAAAUAUGUUGCAGUAAGACUUUCAGGAACCUAAGGCUGUUGCAGUUCCAGGCAUCACAGCCUGCACAGAAUCUCCAGAGGAGAAAGGGGAUCAUGUUUUCUUUUGUCUUUUUUCUUUAAAGAAAGAAAUGAUUUCCUAGAAGUCUGCUGCAGACUUCCUCUGUGUCUCAUUGGUAAGAACUGGGCCCCAUUCUAAUUCCUUAAUCAAAUCAAGGUGAAUUAGAUGAAUCUGGAAGAGAAUGUGGUGGA
rnacentral:lncRNA from 1 species